GGAAGGGCUGUAGCUUAGUAGAGCAUCUGCUUUGCAUGCAGGAGGUCCCAGGGUCAAUUGCUGGCAUCUCCA